rnacentral:rRNA from 1 species
UACGAGUGCCCCAAGCGUUAUCCGGAAUUAUUGGGCGUAAAGGGCGUGUAGGUGGUCUUGUUAGUCUUCUGUGAAAUUCUUCGGCUUAACCGGGGGUCCGCAGGGGAAACGGCAGGACUAGAGGAUGCGAGAGGUGUGCGGAACUCAUGGUGUAGGGGUGAAUUCCGUUGAUAUCAUGGGGAACACCGAAAGCGAAGGCAGCACACUGGCGCACUCCUGACACUGAAACACGAAAGCGUGGGUAGCGAAUGGG